rnacentral:rRNA from 1 species
UACGAAGGGGGCUAGCGUUGCUCGGAAUCACUGGGCGUAAAGGGUGCGUAGGCGGGUCUUUAAGUCAGGGGGGAAAUCCUGGAGCUCAACUCCAGAACUGCCUUUGAUACUGAGGAUCUUGAGUUCGGGAGAGGUGAGUGGAACUGCGAGUGUAGAGGUGAAAUUCGUAGAUAUUCGCAAGAACACCAGUGGCGAAGGCGGCUCACUGGCCCGAUACUGACGCUGAGGCACGAAAGCGCGGGGAGCAAACAGG